rnacentral:rRNA from 1 species
UACGUAGGGUGCAAGCGUUAUCCGGAAUUAUUGGGCGUAAAGAGCUCGUAGGCGGUUUGUCGCGUCUGCCGUGAAAGUCCGGGGCUCAACUCCGGAUCUGCGGUGGGUACGGGCAGACUAGAGUGAUGUAGGGGAGACUGGAAUUCCUGGUGUAGCGGUGAAAUGCGCAGAUAUCAGGAGGAACACCGGUGGCGAAGGCGGAUCUCUGGGCCGUAACUGACGCUGAGGAGCGAAAGCAUGGGGAGCGAACAGG